AUUCAAGAAUAGUUUUGUUUGUCCUGCCCUGCUAUUUCUUUAAGGAGAUCGUACGUAUGUAGUGGAAAGGGCACAAAGAGACCCAGCCUCCUAGUCUCUCGUACCGGCAUCCAGCCGCCUGCUUAGGGACAGGAAGUCGGCCAUGCCGAGAAGGUCGUUCUGAAUGGAAGUGGAAGGACGGCCACAGAAACGGACAGGAAGUUGGCCAUCCCGGGGAGGUCGGUGUGUAAGACAGUGGAGGACUACUGCGCAUGUGUGACUGGAAGUUGGCAGGCCCUAGGAGUAGAUAACCCAAAACACUCAAAGAGCCA